GUUGCAGUCAGUGCAGAAGGUUGUAUAACAGUAAUUAAACAUAGUAAACAUGCUGCCAGAACGGAGACUAUGGAGAAGAAAGUUACACAGCGGCGACAAGAUAAAUUAUUUUUGAUGCUAUAUUCACAUGUAUGUGUGUGAUAGCUCAGCGAUUCAGCACAAAAUUUGUCAUUUUGUCCUCUUUUAAAUGAUCAAGAGGGUAUAGCUCAGUGGUAUAGCAUUCUACUGCAGAUCGGGAUGUACUGAUUUCAAACCUGGGUGCCCCCUUGUGCUUAUUAUUAAUGUAAUAAAUGACACUAAGUGAAUGAACUUACGGAUCAUGGAAUUUCCAAGACUUUGUAUACUCAAGAAAUACUUAAUCAAUUGAUUUAUUUCUGAAAUUGUACGUACGGUUAUUGAAGCACACCAUGUUUCUCAUUUAGAUCAAA
rnacentral:lncRNA from 1 species